UAAUUAUCAAUACUCCGAGUUCUUUUGACCUAAAGCUUUAGGGCUAUGGUAAAGAACCACUUAACGGUUGUUCGGGAAACUGAGCAGCCCCCCAUUUGGAAAGGAGGUUGUGUGGGUGUGUU
rnacentral:ncRNA from 2 species